rnacentral:rRNA from 1 species
AGCAUACUCAUUUUGACGUUUAGCUGCAGAAGAAGCACCGGCUAACUCCGUGCCAGCAGCCGCGGUAAUACGGAGGGUGCGAGCGUUAAUCGGAAUUACUGGGCGUAAAGCGCAUGCAGGUGGUUUGUUAAGUCAGAUGUGAAAGCCCGGGGCUCAACCUCGGAAUUGCAUUUGAAACUGGCAAACUAGAGUACUGUAGAGGGGGUAGAAUUUCAGGUGUAGCGGUGAAAAUGCGUAGAGAUCUGAAGGAAUACCGGUGGCGAAGGCGGCCCCCUGGACAGAUACUGACACUCAGAUGCGAAAGCGUGGGGAGCAAACAGGAUUAGAUACCCUGGUAG